ensembl:misc_RNA 7SK 7SK RNA
AGAUGUGAGGGCGAUCUGGCUGCGACAUCUGUCACCCCAUUGAUCACCAGGGUUGAUUCAGCUGAUCUGGCUGGCUAGGCCAGUGUCUCCUUCCUCCCUCACUGCUCCAUGUGUGUCCCUCCCGAAGCUGCACCUGGGUCAGAGAGGAAAGCCUUCCCCAAUAGAGGCUGACCAGUCUUCCGAGGGUAUAAUAGUAGCUGCGCUCCCCUGCUAGAACCUCCAAACAAAAAUACAAGAAGCACAGCCUGGCAGGUAGCACAGUGAAUCAGGUAUUGAACUCUUAAGUAUGAGGUCUUGAGCUCAAUUC